rnacentral:rRNA from 1 species
ACACGUAGGCACCAAGCGUUAUCCGGAUUUAUUGGGCGUAAAGAGCUCGUAGGCGGUUCAGUCAGUCGGGUGUGAAAACUUGAGGCUUAACCUCAAGAGGUCACUCGAUACUACUGUGACUAGAGUGCGGUAGGGGAGCGGGGAAUUCCUGGUGUAGCGGUGAAAUGCGCAGAUAUCAGGAGGAACACCAGUGGCGAAGGCGCCGCUCUGGGCCGUAACUGACGCUGAGGAGCGAAAGCAUGGGUAGCAAACAGGAUUAGAUACCCUGGUAGUCCAUGCCGUAAACGUUGGGCACUAGGUGUGGGUCUCAACCAACGAGAUCCGCGCCGUCGCUAACGCAUUAAGUGCCCCGCCUGGGGAGUACGGUCGCAAGACUAAAACUCAAAGGAAUUGACGGGGCCCGCACAAGCGGUGGAGCAUGUGGUUUAAUUCGAUGAUACGCGAGGAACCUUACCAGGGCUUAAAUGUAGUAUGACCGGCUUGGAAACAGGCCUUCUCUUCGGAGCAGAUUACAAGG